AUUGAACGCUGGCGGCAGGCCUAACACAUGCAAGUCGAGCGGAUGAAGGGAGCUUGCUCCUGGAUUCAGCGGCGGACGGGUGAGUAAUGCCUAGGAAUCUGCCUGGUAGUGGGGGAUAACGUCCGGAAACGGGCGCUAAUACCGCAUACGUCCUGAGGGAGAAAGUGGGGGAUCUUCGGACCUCACGCUAUCAGAUGAGCCUAGGUCGGAUUAGCUAGUUGGUGGGGUAAAGGCCUACCAAGGCGACGAUCCGUAACUGGUCUGAGAGGAUGAUCAGUCAGACUGGAACUGAGACACGGUCCAGACUCCUACGGGAGGCAGCAGUGGGGAAUAUUGGACAAUGGGCGAAAGCCUGAUCCAGCCAUGCCGCGUGUGUGAAGAAGGUCUUCGGAUUGUAAAGCACUUUAAGUUGGGAGGAAGGGCAGUAAGUUAAUACCUUGCUGUUUUGACGUUACCAACAGAAUAAGCACCGGCUAACUUCGUG
rnacentral:rRNA from 1 species